GAAGGACAAACCGUCUUCUAUUUCUGCCCAUCAUGCAAGCAUCAAGAGAUUGAGUACUCCUGAAGAGAAUCAACAUCUUUUGAUCGGUAUACACUGAGAAGAACUCGAGGCAAUAGCUCACUGGAACAAGGAGAUGAAAUCGACAACAAAGACUACCACCUGAUGCCAGAGAGAUGUCUUACUGAUGAGGAAGCCGAUGUUUUAACUGUGUGUAUUAAUUGAAAAAUGCGCCACUUCAUAUUAGGUGAUUUAUCAUUUGGCAUCAAGAGAUUGAGUACUCUUGAAGAGAAUCAAC